rnacentral:rRNA from 1 species
UACGAGGGGGGCUAGUGUUGUUCGGAAUCACUGGGCGUAAAGGGAGCGUAGGCGGGAGCCUAAGUUGGGUGUUUAAUUCCGGGGCCCAACCCCGGGCGUGCACUCAAAACUGGGUUUCUUGAAUAGGGGAGAGGUCGGUGGAAUUGGAGGUGUAGCGGUGGAAUGCGUAGAGAUCUCCAAGAACACCCGUUGCGAAGGCGGCCGACUAGACCCAUAUUGACGCUGAGGCUCGAAAGCAUGGGGAGCAAACAGG